rnacentral:lncRNA from 1 species
GAGGUGCCUACAGUCCUACAACAAUCUAAGUGUCUGCUGUGUGACUGGUUAUAUUCAUAGACUCAUCACCAAGGGGCUUGCUAACAGAGAGAUGAUGGAUUUUUUUAGUGAUGGGGACUCAUGAAAAUCCAGAACUCAGCUGGAGAUCACAAAAAGCGAAGCCCCACCAAGAAGGUAGCUAGACUAUUACCCAACCACAAGAACACCAAUGGAGAAGGAAAUUCAAAGGACACUGGAGGAGGCAGACACCUGUGGUUUUCUUUUCCCUGCCAAGCUUGGCCCAGAGUCUUCAAUCAACAAAAGGUAACAGACUGGCCAUUGCAAGCUGAAUGUUCAUUCUGAGAAGAGCACACCCAAUUCUGUCUCACACACCCUGGUAAGUGUCUAAUGAUAAAUUUGGACCCACAUUC